UACGAAGGGGGCUAGCGUUGCUCGGAAUCACUGGGCGUAAAGCGCACGUAGGCGGCUUCUCAAGUCAGGGGUGAAAUCCUGGAGCUCGACUCCAGAACUGCCUUUGAUACUGAGGGGCUCGAGUCCGGGAGAGGUGAGCGGAACUGCGAGUGUAGAGGUGAAAUUCGUAGAUAUUCGCAAGAACACCAGUGGCGAAGGCGGCUCACUGGCCCGGUACUGACGCUGAGGUGCGAAAGCGUGGGGAGCAAACAGG
rnacentral:rRNA from 1 species